rnacentral:tRNA from 1 species
ACCUAAAUAGCUUAUUGAGAGUAUAACACUGAAGAUGUUAAGGAAAUAUUAUUUAUUUUUAGGUA